UGUCAGCAGCCGCGGUAAUACGUAGGAUCCGAGCGUUGUCCGGAUUUAUUGGGUUUAAAGGGUGCGCAGGCGGCCCGAUAAGUCAGUGGUGAAAGCCGGCAGCUCAACUGUCGAAUUGCCAUUGAUACUGUUGGGCUUGAGUAUAGUUGAGGUUGGCGGAAUGUAUCAUGUAGCGGUGAAAUGCAUAGAUAUGAUACAGAACACCGAUUGCGAAGGCAGCUGACUAAGCUAUUACUGACGCUCAUGCACGAAAGCGUGGGGAUCAAACAGGAUUAGAUACCCUGGUAGUCCACGCCGUAAACGUUGAUAACUCGAUGUUGGCGAUAUAAUGUCAGCGUCUUAGCGAAAGCGUUAAGUUAUCCACCUGGGGAGUACGCCGGCAACGGUGAAACUCAAAGAAAUUGACGG
rnacentral:rRNA from 1 species